UGAGCAUUUGCACCCCAUUGU
rnacentral:piRNA from 1 species